rnacentral:siRNA from 1 species
UGUAGUUGCAAAGAGCAUCAA